CAAAAGCAUGGCGGGUGUUUUGGCUUGGAACUCUUCAGUACUGCUGCUCAAUCCGUGUUUGAAUUUGCCAUGCAAGUAAGACCACGAUCCGAGUGUAUGCGCUGGAUUUAGUAAAAGUCAAAUCUGAGAUUAUACCGUCCGAACUUGAUCUAGAUAAUUCUAGCGCCAAGGAUCAUGCUCCCCUUUCCCC
rnacentral:ncRNA from 1 species